rnacentral:rRNA from 1 species
GACGAACGCUGGAGGCGUGCUUAACACAUGCAAGUCGAACGAUGAAAUGGAGCUUGCUCCAUGGAUUAGUGGCGAACGGGUGAGUAACACGUGAAUCACCUGCCCUUAAUUUUGGAAUAACCCAGGGAACCCUGGGCUAAUACCGGUUAAGUAAACCUGUGGCAUCACAUGGUCUUGGAAAGUUUUUCGAUUAAGGAUGGAUUCGCGGCCUAUCAGCUUGUUGGUGGGGUAAUGGCUCACCAAGGCGACGACGGGUAGCCGGCCUGAGAGGGUGAACGGCCACACUGGGACUGAGACACGGCCCAGACUCCUACGGGAGGCAGCAGUGGGGAAUAUUGCGCAAUGGACGAAAGUCUGACGCAGCGACGCCUCGUGAGGGACGAAGGUCUUCGGAUUGUAAACCUCUUUCAGCAGGGACGAAGCGAAAGUGACGGUACCUGCAGAAGAAGCACCGGCUAACUAUGUGCCAGCAGCCACCGUAA